rnacentral:rRNA from 1 species
UACGUAGGGCGCAAGCGUUGUCCGGAUUCACUGGGUGUAAAGGGUGCGCAGGCGGACUGGCAAGUCAGGGGUGAAAUCCUGGAGCUCAACUCCAGAACUGCCUUUGAUACUGGGAAGCUUGAGUCCGGAAGAGGUGAGUGGAACUCCGAGUGUAGAGGUGAAAUUCGUAGAUAUUCGGAAGAACACCAGUGGCGAAGGCGGCUCACUGGUCCGGUACUGACGCUGAGGCGCGAAAGCGUGGGGAGCAAACGGG